rnacentral:rRNA from 1 species
CCAGACUCCUACGGGAGGCAGCAGUGGGGAAUAUUGCACAAUGGGGGAAACCCUGAUGCAGCGACGCCGCGUGAAGGAAGAAGUAUUUCGGUAUGUAAACUUCUAUCAGCAGGGAAGAAAAUGACGGUACCUGACUAAGAAGCCCCGGCUAACUACGUGCCAGCAGCCGCGGUAAUACGUAGGUGGCAAGCGUUGUCCGGAUUUACUGGGUGUAAAGGGCGUGUAGCCGGGAAGGCAAGUCAGAUGUGAAAUCCGGAGGCUCGACCUCCGAAUUGCAUUUGAAACUGUUUUUCUUGAGUACUGGAGAGGCAGACGGAAUUCCUUGUGUAGCGGUGAAAUGCGUAGAUAUAAGGAAGAACACCAGUGGCGAAGGCGGAUGACUGGACGGCAACUGACGGUGAGGCGCGAAAGCGUGGGGAGCAAACAGGAUUAGAUACCCGCGUACC